rnacentral:rRNA from 1 species
AAACCCCCGGGCUCCACCCCUGGGAGAGUCCAUUGGAAAAACUUGGGCAACUUUAAGAUUCAGGAGAAGGAGGAGGUGGAAAUUUUCCAGUGUAAACGGGGGAAAUAGGGUAGAGAUUUUGGAGGGGACACCCAGUGGGGGAAGGGGAGUUCUCCUGGUGCUGUAAAAUGUCGCCUUUAGGGGUCGAAAAACGUGGGGGAGCGCAACAGGGAUAUAAGAACNCCCGGGAGAUGCCCCCCCGUGAAAAGAUAAGUGGCUUAGUGUUAGGGGGUCCUCCACCCCUUAGUGUCGGCAGCUAACGCAUUAAGCACUCCCCCUGGGGAGUACGGUCGGCAAGGCUGAAAACUCAAAGGAAUUGAUCGGGGGCCCCGCACAAAGCGGUGGAGCNAUGUGGGUUUAAUUUGAAGCAACGCGAAGAACCUUACCAGGUCUUGACAUCCCGUGGACCUUUGUAGAGAUAAAUUUUCCCCUUCGGGGGCAUCGGUCACGGGUGGUGCAGGGUUGUCGUCAGUUGGUGUGGUGAGAUGUGGGUUAAAUUCCUGCAGCGAGCGCACCCUUUCCUUUUAGUUCCCAUCGUUAAGUUGGGCACUCUAAGGAGACUGCCGGUGACAAACCGGAGGAAGGUGGGGAUGACGUCAAGUCAUCAUGCCCCUUAUGACCUGGGCUACACACGUGCUACAAUGGUCGAUACAAAGGGUUGCCAACUCGCGAGAGGGAGCUAAUCUGAUAAAGUCGUUCUCAGUUCGGAUUGCAGUCUGCAACUCGCCUACAUGAAGUCGGAAUCGCUAGUAAUCGCGGAU